GCCGGAGUAGUUCAGUGGCAGAACGUCACCAUGGUAAGGUGAAAGUCGAGAGUUCGAUUCUCUCCUCCGGCU
rnacentral:tRNA from 1 species